AAUCUAAGAGGCAGUUGAAAGUGGUUCUGAGCAGAGAGGACCAUUGGGGGAUGAGGCAGCUGUUGGAGAGGGAUGGGUCAAGGGAUGGAGGGUAGCACUGUGAGCUGAAAUAGGUGAAUUGGGAGGGAUGCUGGCUAGAGAAGAGGAGGCAAGAAGAGAUUGAAGGGAAAUCUCAAGGGGCUCCAGAGACUACUACGAUGGUGCAAAGUCACAGAAGCCCUGGGAAAAGCAGGUAGAAUGGAGUUGCCAUGACAUUGAGCCUCAUCUAGAUGCCAGUUCCAGAUAUUGGCAGACUGCUGGCCUCCUGAGGAGCACAGGAAGGGGCCUGGCAGACUGGUGAUCCUGGUUGGAGAUGAAGAGGGGCUGAUUAAGAGGAGCUGACUGAGGCCGGGAGGUUUCCUGCCCGGGAGUGGCGAGCCUGUCAGAGCUGCACCUGGGCCUACCUGUACCUAGGAGAGAUUCAGGGUAUGGUUGGCUUCCCACAAACACCUGGGGCUCGAGGAGUGCGCUGCCUCUGUUCCACACCUGAUGUGAUCCACAUCCACGCCCAUGCAUCUAGCCAGGAGAGUGACUGUCACUGAUGAGGCAGUGUGAUAGUACCUCUGAUGGUUUCUCUGAGAUCAGCCUUUGCACUUCACCUGUGUGGGCCAGAUGGAAAGCCAGGGUGGAGACGGAGCACCCUGGGUCAGCUGGGAUCCCACCGUGCGAUUCCACGGCAUGGGGUGUCAGAACUUGGAGUGCCGGUGGUGGCCAAAGCAGGGGUGGGGUGGCAUUCCUGUGUCUCUGCCACUCACUGGCUGUGUCACCAUGGAAAAGUCAUCUAAACCCCUCGGUGCCCCAGUCUUGUUCUCUGUCCAUGGCAAUUCGGGUAGGCCUGACCCGGUUGGAUGGCUCUGAGGUUUCAAUGAGGUAUCAUACAUGCAAAUGGUUUUUUUGGAGCCAGGUUCUUUUUAUUUAAAAAGAUUUUUUAAAAUGGGAAUACUCACUAAAAAGAGUACCUGACCUCAGCUGGGCACAAUGGCUCACACCUGUAAUCCCAGCACUUUGGGAGGCCAAGGCGGGUGGAUCACGAGGUCAGGAGAUGGAGACCUGUAGUCCCAGCUACUCGGGAGGCUGAAGCAGGAGAAUCGCUUGAACCCAGGAGGUGAGGUUGCAGUGAGCUGAGAUCCCGCCACCGCUCUCCAGCCUGAGUGACAGAGCGAGAUAAAAAAAAAAGAAAAAGGAAAAGAACCUGACUUCAGUAUCUUUGGGUGUCUGGGAUUGAGGAGUGUUCCUGAAUGGGCAUCAGGGAUUGAUGAACACUUGUGUAAGAGUUAAAGAAAGAGGAAAGAAACAUGACAUUUUUAAAGACAGGUUUACUUUAGAUAAAACCUGGAGGGGCUUCUGGCCGAUUUUGGUCAGGAGCGCUUUCUGUUACAGACUAAAAGUAUAUAUUGGUUUUAGGGUGAGGGUCUUAUCACAAGGUUGGAAUGUUUUUGGGUCAGGGAGAAGUCUAUAGCCGGGUCGGAAUGUUUCUGGGCAGAGAGGAGGUUAUCUUGGGGCUGACAUCUUCCCAGCCAGAGGGGGGUUAUCUUGGGGCUAGCAUGUCUCUGGUUGGGGAGGAGUUUGGAAUAUUUCUGGUCGGAGAUGUUAUUUGUAGUUUCUGGUCAUGCUGACCUUAGCCAUUAGGCUGAUGCCUUUUGGCUUUAGGCGGUUUUUGAUUAAGAUGAAUUUUAAAAUAAGGUGCUUGUCCACAAUGGCAAGGCCCCUGCUCUGUCACCUUGCCCCCCAAAAUUGCAAAGCUUUGUUUCUGUGUAUGCAUGUAUAAAUAUUUUUUUUUCCCUUAGGAGCAAAGGCAAUAGCUUAACUAAGAUGUUCAGAGGGAUCAUGACAAAAAGACUGAAUGCCUGGGGUUGGGGUCAGGGGCGUGUUUCAGGUGCCUUUAUUUUAUACCAGAGUUUCCCAACCUGGGGAAUCUUGCCAUGUGGGGCCAAAUCAUUCCUUGUUGUUGUAGACUGACUUGUGCAUUGCAGGGUGAUUAGCAGCAUCUCUGGCUCUACCCACUAGAUACCAGUAGCACCCUCCACCCCAUCCCCACCUAGUUUCACCAAUAAAAAAUGUCUUCAGACAUUGCUCAAUGUCUUUGGGGAGGUGAGAGUGGGACAAAAUUGCCCCCAACUGAGAACUGCUGCUUUGUGAUGUUCCUAGUGGAGUGAGCCCUCGAUAAGUGGUUGUUAUUUGCUGUGUUGAAGUUUGGCAAGAUUUCUCUUCUGGGCCUUGUUGAUCUCUUCCUAUUUCUGUGCACUGCUUAAAGGGAAAGUCGAUGACUACAGGGCUUCCAAACUCCAGCCCCAUUGGAUAUAAAGUACUAGUUCCUUAAUCUGGUGGGGCAGCCUGAUCAACUGGAACUUGGUUCUUACUGUGUUUCUCGUUAUGCAAACCUUAAGGAUUCCAGCCUGGGCAACAUAGUGAGACCCUGUCUCUACA